UACGUAGGCAGCAAGCGUUGUUCGGAGUUACUGGGCGUAAAGAGUGCGUAGGCGGUCCUGUAAGUUUGGUGUGAAAUCUCCCGGCUCAACUGGGAGGGUGCGCCGAAGACUGCAGGGCUUGAGUAUGGGAGAGGUAAGCGGAAUUCCUGGUGUAGCGGUGAAAUGCGUAGAGAUGCGGAGGAACACCGAUGGCGAAGGCAGCCCCCUGGGCCAACACUGACGCUCAGGCACGAAAGCGUGGGGAGCAAACAGG
rnacentral:rRNA from 1 species